AAGUCGUAACAAGGUUUCCGUAGGUGAACCUGCGGAAGGAUCAUUAACACGUAUCCAACGUUAAACCCCCCCGUGAACCUUUAUUGUGCUCGUCUGCCCUGUUGGAAAGCGGCAAUCCCUGGUAAAUCAUCGCCGAACAGUUUUGAUUCAGGGACUUCUGCGGAGCGCGGAAAACGAGGCGAGCAAGUGGUCUGGCAUCCCUCUGCUUGUUAGUGUCUGACAGUGUCACUAGCUCUGUAAGGAUGGCGCAGUAACGAUCGCUAGAGGCCGACACGGCCGGCGACCGGACCGCCGGGCUAUACGCUCCUUUAUCACCUUUGCAUGAAAACGGGCCUGCGCUUAAUUGUGCGGCCACCAAACCUGAACAACUGUUAACAAUGGAUAUCUUGGUUCUC
rnacentral:misc_RNA from 1 species